AGGUUACAACAAAGACGAUAUGAAAGUGUAUGUGUCCUAUGAAUUUCCCUUUUUAAACGAUCAACCUCAAACUGGCUUCACGGAAACCAUCAAACACAACAUUAAUCCUGAAUUUGAUCAAAAGUUUAAGAUAUCUAUCGACAGAAAAACCGAUCGUUGGCGAGAAUAUUUCGACGACAAAGUGUGAAAUUUGAAAUAAAAUACAACAGAGGAUUUCUGAAAGGUGACAAGACGCUGGGUCAAGCUUCUCUUAAGUUAUCACCGUUUGAUAAUAGAUGUGAAAUUCACGAAUGUCUUAAUCUUAUGGAUCCCGAGAAAGGUCGCAAGGUGAUUGGUGGAAAGAUUGAAGUCAAAUUACGUAUUCGUGAACCUCUGACAGAUAAAGAUGUUGAAAUCUUGACGCAAAAAUUGUUGGUCAUAGAUGCAUUUGUUGCACCAACAAAUAGAGUGAGUAUA